rnacentral:lncRNA from 1 species
AUGAUACAGGGCUUCACCCACAAAGGCAAGAGUUCAGCUUUUACGGAACAGUUGGUGGGCUGGGGUCCAGCUGAUCAUUAUCUCAGUGCUGGUGUCAUAGUUCUGGAAUCUUUACUGCUGAGGGAUGGUUUCAUUCCCAAGAAAGGAUUGCCUCUAUGGUGGUCUCAGUCAUGUGGAGCUCUGCAUUUCUGGAAUCCAAGUGAUCACAGCCACCACUCAAGGACAGAGGGAUGUGGAGCUCCCGUAGCAGCAUCUGCCACGACCUACAGCAGUGUGCUGUCUUUCGGCUCUGGAUUUAGAAACUCUUGGAAUGUGGGUUCAAUCCCAGCACUGGAAAAAAAAAGGAAUAAAGAAAAGAAAAAAGAAACAAACAGAAAGAAAAAGAAAAGAUGCCUAGAAGACAAAUCCUCAAUAAAUAUAUGCUAAAUAAAUAAAUGGAAUUGUUGACUACCUGAUGUAUGUGAAAUGUCCUACUAGGGCACUUGGGUACAGCAGGAUAAAAAAGACACAGUCCCUGUUCCAUGCACAGGCCUUAUCUGACAAAUUCUGAUUUAACUGGUCUUGUACAAUGACUGGAAACAGAUAUUCAAGUACACACACACACACACACACACUUUUGAAGGGGCUCAGAUGAUUCUCAUGCACAGGCCAGGAUGAAGCUUUUGGGUUAAGCUAUACAUGUCAGCUGGUAACACAUGGGUCACACAUAGCCCUGAACAGCUAGUAAUGUAAUACCACAAGAUCAUAAACUUCUAAUACUAUUACGUGAUUUUUCAUGAUUCAAUCGAAUGGUGUUUGAAUGGAAACAAACUGUGUAGGUGACAACCUGUCUAGGGGAACAUGGUGCAGUGCUAACUGUGCCUCCUGUGCCCACCACACGGAAUAAGUGGAAUUAAAACCUUCGUGUAUCAGACAUUAUGCUCACUUGUGUGACUUGCUGAGUAAAAUUCAAUGAUUAGCAACAUUAAUGCUUCAACUUAUAUGUCUGUGUGCCUAUGAAGACAGGUAUGUGUGUGUGUGUGUGUGUGUGUGUGUGUGUAUAUUAUAUAUAUUAUAUAUAUAAUUUUUUUUUUUUUUUUUUGGUACUGGGCAUCGAACUCAGGAACUUGCCCUUGUGAGGCAGGCAGCAGAACCACUGAGCUAAAUCCCCGGCACCAAGUAUUUAUAUUUUUUUAUUCAGGAAUAUUUUAUAUUUUCAAAGUAUUUAGGAAUAGUUUAAUUAGAAAAAUAAAGGCAAUAGGAUUAUCUAUUAGGUUCUAAAAGUACCCAUGAAUUAAAUCAUACCCCCAAACAAAACAAAACCUUAAAUCACAUUGCUAUUAAGCUUUCUUAUAGUAAAGAAUAAAACCAAACUAUGCUGAAGUACAAAAACCUGAAAUUCUGAGCAUGAAAAUAAUUUAUUGAUUAGACAUCUGAUUUAUUCAAGCAGUAGGCCUGCUGAACACAGCUAAUGAAGCAGGAAAAGUAAAUUCCAUCCAGCACCUGCAUCAUUUCAAAUUUCCUGGGGACAGUUUAUACAUGGGUAUUUAUUACUAUUAUUAAUUUAUUUUGAUUUUUUUGGUAUGGGGAUUGAACUUGGGACCUUGCGCUUGUGAAGCAGGUGGUGGAACCACGGAGCUAAAUCCCCAGCCUGGUAUUUACCUAGUAAUAACUAAACAGACAUGAAAAGGUUCUUAUUUAUUUGAGCUUGUUGUGUUAUUUUAUAAAAUAAUAAGUUAAAAUGCAAAAAGUGCAGGGACUUUUGCUACUUAUAUACAUUAAACAUAUUACAGAUUUUCUAUGUGGCCCAGCCCAAGACAAUUCUGCUUCAUUCAGUGUAGCUCAGGGAGGCCAAAAGAUUGGACACCCUAAGCACUAUCUUCCUGAUGGAAGAAUCAGGGAUGAAAGGCAGAUGGACACCAGAAUGAUCUCUCCAGACUUCCAAAAUCGCCAUACUGAGACUGGACAUCAUAUGAGAAUUGAGGCUAUGUAAAUGAGCCUGCAUGGUGCAGCUGGCCAGGGCUACCGACAAAUUCAAUUCCUAAAUUCUAUUACUGUGCUGGAAAAAAUUUGUUACUGCAAAGAGAGCAUUGGCUUUGCAGAGGCUGAACAGCAAAAAAUGGAAGCUAGUUAGGGCCCAGAAUGUCUCACAGUAGUGUAAGAAGUAAAAAGGGAAAGAUGUCCCACAGACAACUAAGUUCGGGAUGGAUGAAAACAACUACUCAGACCCAAUUUAUUUUCUUUGUAACCAUACCUACACCCAUAACCCUAAUUAUAUUCUUAGGAUAAACUCACACAAAUAAAAGUACUUUUAACACAGGUGAUCUCUGCAAACAACUAUCAAACUCUAUCAUUUUACUUGGGAAUUCAUUUUUUUUGAAGUAGAGGGCUUCUUUUAUUUUGUAUUUAUGUUUGCUCGUUUUGUUGUUUUGUUUUUUGGUACUGGGGAUCAAACUCGGGACCUGUGCUUGUGAAGAAGAGGGCAGAACCACUGAGCUAAAUCCCCAGCCCUAUUUUGUAUUCAUGUAUUUUUGGGUAUCUAUUAAAUUUUAGAUGUGCUUCAAGUAGAAACAACUGCAUUUCUUCCUUCUAGAUACUUCAAGAAAUCUUCUGCCGCUCAUCUUUUCUGAGAAUAUACUUAGGCUUACUUUCCCUCUCUAUAUUCUUAGCACCUUCCUUGUAUGUCUCUAUUAUGUUACCACAGUGUACUUGUUUUUGUGUUAAGCCAUACCUCCAAGCCACCUCCUCCUACCCUCGUUUUUUUUUUUUUUUUUUUUUGGUACCAGGGAUUGAACUUGGGUCCUUGCGCUUGUGAGGCUGGUGGCAGAACCUCUGAGCUAAAUUCCUGGCCAAUUGUUCUAUCUAUGUAUCUAUCUACCUAUCUGUUUAUUGGUUUUUUGAGACAGGGUCUCACUAUGUAGUUGAGACUCACUAUGUAGCCCAGGCUGGUCUUGAACUGACAGCAAUCCUCCUGCCUCAGCCUCCAGAGUGCUGGGAUUACAGGUGUGUGCCACCACGCCCGACAUUACCCUCAAUUGUUCUAAAAGACCAAGAGAUCCUAAAACAGCAGCAUCAUGAUUUCAAGGGCAGACUCCUCUCCCCCUUAAUGCUGAGAUUCUGACUCAGGAGAUCUAGAUUGGGGCUGGGGAAUUGGCAGCAUACUUUCCCAGGGAUUUGGGAUGGCCAAUUUACAAACUUCACUGAAUUGAAAUAAACUAAGAGUGGAGACUGUCUUAGUCACCACUGCACAACUACUGGCUGGCAUGUACACAUGUGGUAAAUGUGUACUGGAUAAAGCGAAUGGUCAGAAAAAUAUCUGAGAACUUCUCUAAAGGAAUUGUCUCAUAUGGACUCAAAACCAGUUACAUCAGACAGUACUUUCAGUAUGUGCAGUAAGACUUGCUCAAUAGGUCUAAAACAAGGAAAUUGAAGUGCUUACUUGACUUUCCAGAUUUAUGAAAAUAAGCAGUUCAGCAGGUAAUUAGGCAAUUUACAAAUGCAAAUCUCAGAUAACCAGACUAGUUUGUGAACUUGCUUAUGCAUUUUUAUAAUUUCUGCUAUUCAUUUUAUGGCUCAUUUUCUACUAGGCCUUGUACUGUCACCUUUCUCAGGCAGAGGUAAUUUGCAGUCUCACUAGAGAUAGAGGUAAAGGUGAGUUUCAGGAGAAAGAUUUUAACUGAGAAGUACUUUCAGAACUUGGAAGUGGUUUGCAAAAUGGGUAUUCCAUAACCUAUGGGAAAUAUGAUUUUGAAAUUUACAGUUAUCAAUGCAUGUUUAAGACUAUCUAUAAACCAGCCUGUCUCUGAGCAUUUAAUUAAUUCACCAUUAGUUUAUGCUGAUUAAAUUCCCUACCUUUAGCUAUUCUGACAUUCCUGGGUAGCACUGUCUAAUUUUUUCACACCAACACCAAAUCUGAUACCCACUUUAAGUAGAUGAAUUUCAGCCCAAAUCUUGUAUUGCUCUAUGAUCCCAAGAGCACAGAACUCCUCUCAGGAAAAUAGGAGAUUUUCCAUAGGUAAAUUCUAGGAAUUGUCCCAUUAUCAACAACUGCUAGAGAAAAAUUUCAGUAAUAGAUUUUAUAUAUUUAAAAACAACUGUAAUUUAGUUGCCUAGAUAAUAAAAACUUGAUUUUUUUGUCACUGUGGAUAUAUCAGCUACCUGAAUGUGCAAACUUUUUUUUGAAAUUUCUGCCCAUAUAUACACAGUCAUAGAAAACAUUACAGCUCAAAUUUAGCACUCAUGGAUACGAGUUGCUAGUCUACCAUUUAUGCAAACUGGUUGUAUUCUCCAUGUGAUUUCUGUGCAGAAAUACUGAAAGACAAGCUUCUGUUUUCAAAUUUCAGGUAUUUCAUUGUGCUCUCUUAGCUAUGAUGGUCAUGGAUUCCAUUUUGGUGUGGUAACCAAAAGUAAUUGUCUUUCCCAGGAGAAUGAUGUUGGGAAAUUAACUAUUACAUACUAAUAAUUGUGAAAACAAGAAGUAACAGAACAUUUAUAGUUGAUAACACUUGCCAUUAAUGAAAAGGAAAACUAGGGGCCUUUGGUCACUUGAAAUUUUGAGGAAGAAGUCUUGGCUUUUACCUUUGUAAAUUACUCAUUAGGAGUAUUCUAAUGCACUGGUUAGUUAUACUAAUGCAAAUGCAGCAGACAAGGCCCAGGAUUUAGCUCAGUGACACAGCACCUACCUGGCAAGUGCAAGGUCCUGAGUUUCAUCCCUGUACCAAAAAAAAAAAGCAGCAGAUGAG